rnacentral:lncRNA from 1 species
CAUCUCAUCUCUCGGGAGCCCUGCUGGCCACCUUGAGAGGUAGAAAGCAUGGGCAAGGACUCCCGGUUUCUAUUUUACAGGUGAGCAAACUGAAACCCAGAAAGGACACAACAAGCAAUAGUGGUGGAGUGUCAGGCUCUUCUCCACAUGCCCAAGGCUGCCUUCCUUGGAGGUUCCUCAUCUGCGAAAUGGAGAUCAUAGUGCCUGGCUCCCUGAAAGUCAUGUUGAUUUUGAUUCAGUAUAAGGAAAGGAAGAGCUGGU